rnacentral:tRNA from 1 species
CAAGAUGUAGCUUAACCAAAGCACCUGGCUUACACCCGGAAGAUUU